UUAUCUUGGGCGAAAGCGCCUGUAGGUUGUUUAAUAAGUCUGUUGUUAAAGACUAGGGCUUAACCCUAGGAAAGCAAUGGAAACUACUAGACUUGAGUAUGAUAGGGGUAGAGGGAAUUUCUAGUGUAGCGGUGAAAUGCGUAGAUAUUAGAAAGAACACCGGUGGCGAAGGCGCUCUACUGGAUCAUUACUUGACACUCAGAGGCGAAAGCAUGGGGUAGCAAAAGGGAUUAGAUACCCCUGUAGUCCUAGCCGUAAACGAUGGAUACUACAUGUUGCCGUUUUUAAUGCAGUAUGGUAGCUAACGCGUUAAGUAUCCCGCCUGGGGAGUACGCUCGCAAGGGUGAAACUCAAAGGAAUUGACGGGGGCCCGCACAAGCGGUGGAGCAUGUGGUUUAAUUCGAUGCAACGCGAAGAACCUUACCAAGGCUUGACAUACUACAAAUUUCUUUGAAAGAGGAAAGUGCCUUCGGGAAUGUAGAUACAGGUGGUGCAUGGCUUGUCCGCAGCUCGUGUCGUGAGAUGUUGGGUUAAGUCCCGCACCAGCGCACCCUUAUUUUUAGUUGCUAAUUUAUUUUAGGGUUUCUAGAAGACUGCGGUGACAACCGGAGGAAGGUGAGGAUGACUCAAGUCACAUGCCCUUUGCCUUGGCUCCCACUGCUCAUGGUAAACAAAAAUUGCACUCCCAGAGUCACUAUUUAA
rnacentral:rRNA from 1 species